AGUCGAGCGAGGUACUUGUACCUAGCGGCAGACGGGUGCGUAACAUGUGGGAAUCUGCCUUUUGGUUCGGAACAACACGGGGAAACUUGUGCUAAUACCGGAUAAGUCCUAACGGAGAAAGAUUUAUCGCCGAAAGAUGAGCCCGCACUAGAUUAGCUUGUUGGUAAGGUAAAAGCUUACCAAGGCUACGAUCUAUAGCUGAUUUGAGAGGAUGAUCAGCCACACUGGGACUGAGACACGGCCCAGACUCCUACGGGAGGCAGCAGUGGGGAAUCUUGCACAAUGGAGGAAACUCUGAUGCAGCGAUGCCGCGUGAGUGAAGAAGGCCCUUGGGUUGUAAAGCUCUUUUGUCGGGAAAGAUAAUGACUGUACCCGAAGAAUAAGGUCCGGCUAACUUCGUGCCAGCAGCCGCGGUAAUACGAAGGGACCUAGCGUAAUUCGGAAUUACUGGGCGUAAAGCGCGCGUAGGCGGUUAAGUAAGUUAAUUGUGAAAGCCCAAAGCUCAACUUUGGAAUUGCAAUUAAAACUACUUAGCUAGAGUUUAUCAGAGGAAAGCGGAAUACAUAGUGUAGAGGUGAAAUUCGUAGAUAUUAUGUAGAACACCAGUUGCGAAGGCGGCUUUCUGGGAUAACACUGACGCUGAGGUGCGAAAGUAUGGGUAGCGAAGAGGAUUAGAUACCCUCGUAGUCCAUACCGUAAACGAUGAUUGUUAGAUGUUGGAAAUUUAUUUUCAGUAUCACAGCUAACGCGUUAAACAAUCCGCCUGGGGGAGUACGACCGCAAGGUUAAAACUCAAAUGAAUUGACGGGGACCCGCACAAGCGGUGGAGCAUGU
rnacentral:rRNA from 1 species